rnacentral:rRNA from 1 species
AUUGAACGCUGGCGGCAUGCCUUACACAUGCAAGUCGAACGGCAGCACGGGAGCAAUCCUGGUGGCGAGUGGCGAACGGGUGAGUAAAGUAUCGGAACGUGCCCAGUCGUGGGGGAUAACGUAGCGAAAGUUACGCUAAUACCGCAUACGAGCUAUGGAUGAAAGCGGGGGAUCGCAUGACCUCGCGCGAUUGGAGCGGCCGAUAUCAGAUUAGGUAGUGGGUGGGGUAAAGGCUCACCAAGCCGACGAACUGUAGCUGGUCUGAGAGGACGACCAGCCACACUGGGACUGAGACACGGCCCAGACUCCUACGGGAGGCAGCAGUGGGAAAUUUUGGACAAUGGGCGAAAGCCUGAUCCAGCCAUGCCGCGUGCAGGAUGAAGGCCUUCGGGUUGUAAACUGCUUUUGUACGGAACGAAAAGGUUUGGCCUAAUAAGCUGAGCUCAUGACGGUACCGUAAGAAUAAGCACCGGCUAACUACGUGCCAGCCGCCGCGGUAA